rnacentral:rRNA from 1 species
UACGGAGGGUGCAAGCGUUAUCCGGAUUCACUGGGUUUAAAGGGUGCGUAGGUGGGCAGGUAAGUCAGUGGUGAAAUCUCCGGGCUUAACCCGGAAACUGCCCAUUGAUACUAUCUGUCUUGAAUACCGUGGAGGUGAGCGGAAUAUGUCAUGUAGCGGUGAAAUGCUUAGAUAUGACAUAGAACACCAAUUGCGAAGGCAGCUCACUACACGAAUAUUGACACUGAGGCACGAAAGCGUGGGGAUCAAACAG